CGGGAGAACUGGAUAAGCCAGUGCCGAAGGAGCAACCGCCUCGGAAACUCUCAGGCAAAAGGACCGAUC
rnacentral:ncRNA from 1 species